rnacentral:rRNA from 1 species
UCAAGCUGGAAAGAGCGCAAGGGGAAUGCCUUGGCAUCAGGAGCCGAAGAAGGACGUGACAAGCUGCGAAAAGCCUCGGGGAGGAGCAAAUAUCCAUUGAUCCGGGGAUAUCCGAAUGGGGCAACCCGGCUGGACAAUAUCCAGUCAUCCUGCGUUGAACAAAAUAGGCGUAGGAAGGGAACCGCCUGAACUGAAACAUCUAAGUAGGGCGAGGAAGAGACAUCAACCGAGAUUCCGCAAGUAGUGGCGAGCGAACGCGGAAGAGGCCAAACCGAGGGAUUUAUUCCUCGGGGUUGCGGACAGUCAUUUAGCGGAAGUUAUCUAGGAGAAGGGUCUGGGAAGGCCCGCCACAGAGGGUGAGAGCCCCGUAUCCGAAAGAGAAGGCCGUGCGACUGAAUCCAGAGUACCGCGGGACACGUGAAACCCCGUGGGAAACAGGGGGGACCACCCUCCAAGCCUAAAUACUACCUGAUGACCGAUAGAGGAGCAGUACCGUGAGGGAAAGGUGAAAAGGACCCCGGGAGGGGAGUGAAAGAGAACCUGAAACCUUGUGCUUACAAGCUGUCAAAGCACGUUAACGUGUGAUGGCGUACUUUUUGUAGAACGGUCCGGCGAGUUAUAGUAACGAGCGAGCUUAAGGCAUUCAGUGCCGGAGGCGAAGCGAGAGCGAGUCUGAAUAGGGCGUAAAGUUCGUUGCCAUAGACCCGAAACCGGGUGACCUACCCAUGAGCAGGUUGAAGUGGGGGUGAAACCCCAUGGAGGACCGAACCGACCCCCGUUGCAAUGGUGGCGGAUGACUUGUGGGUAGCGGUGAAAUUCCAAUCGAACUCGGAGAUAGCUGGUUCUCCCCGAAAUAGCUUUAGGGCUAGCGUUAUGUUAGAUUACCGGAGGUAAAGCACUGAAUGGUAGCGGGGCCGAUAAGGUUACCAACGCCUAUCAAACUAAGAAUGCCGGCUAAUUGAUGCAUAGCAGUCAGACAGUGUGAGAUAAGUUUCAUUGUCAAAAGGGAAACAGCCCAGACCUACAGCUAAGGUCCCGAAUAGAUGCUAAGUGGAAAACGAUGUGGAGUUGCGAAAACAACCAGGAUGUUGGCUUAGAAGCAGCCACUCAUUAAAAGAGUGCGUAAUAGCUCACUGGUCGAGUGACUCUGCGCGGAAAAUAUAACGGGGCUAAGCGUAACACCGAAGCUUGGGCUGCACAGCAAUGUGCGGGGUAGGGGAGCGUCGAAUAUGGGGUGAAGUCGCAGCGGAAGCAGCGGUGGACUGUAUUCGAGUGAGAAUGCCGGAAUGAGUAGCGAGAAUUAUGUGGGAAUCAUAAUGGCCGAAAAUCUAAGGUUUCUUGGGGAAGGUUCGUCCGCCCAAGGUAAGCCGGGAGCUAAGGCGAGGCCGAAAGGCGUAGUCGAUGCACAUACGGUAGAAAUUCCGUAGCCACCGAACUUUAAGUCAGAGGGACACUUUUGGAUAGCGGAACCCGGGCGUUGGUUGACCCGGGCGAAAGGGAGCGAAAAUAUAGUAGCGAAGUCCGCGAUGCUGAGAGGCGAGAAAAGCUCUGAUGGAUACUAAGGUGCCCGUACCGCAAACCGACACAGGUAGAUGAGGAGAGAAUCCUAAGGCCAACGGGAGAAGGGUUGUUAAGGAACUCGGCAAGUUGACCCCGUAACUUCGGAAUAAGGGGAGCCUCGCAAGAGGCCGCAGUGAAAAGGCCCAAGCAACUGUUUACCAAAAACACAGGUCUAUGCUAAAUCGAAAGAUGACGUAUAUGGGCUGACGCCUGCCCGGUGCCGGAAGGUUAAGAGGAGAUGUCAGCGCAAGCGAAGCAUUGAAUUGAAGCCCCGGUAAACGGCGGCCGUAACUAUAACGGUCCUAAGGUAGCGAAAUUCCUUGUCGGGU